AUACAUGGCAUGUGAUACACAACACGUAUACACGGCAUGUGAUACACGGCAUGUGAUACACAACAAGUAUACAUGGCAUGUCAUACACAACACGUAUACACGGUACACCUACCUAUGUGAUACACGGCAUGUGAUACACAACACAUAUACACGGUACAUCUACCUAUGUGAUACACAACACGUAUACACGGUACACCUACCUAUGUGAUACAUGGCAUGUGAUACACAACACGUAUACACGGUACACCUACCUAUGUCAUACACGGCAUGUGAUACACAACACGUAUACACGGUACACCUACCUAUGUGUAAGAUCAUAUUGUGAAAGAAAUGUGUAUACUUGUGGAUGAGGCAAACUGUCCAAUGAUGCGAUGUACAUAAAAUGGUUAAUAACACAUGAAUUGAUGUAAGUACACUCAUGAAUGUAAGUCACUGUUCCGUUCCUUCACCUGGGUCUUUCUCUGUUAUAUCCAUAAUAUCGUUGGAAGCUGGCAGGAACUUGGAGUUUCCAGGUUUGCAAGGAGGACAUUGCUAGUCAGGUGAAAACGUGCGAGAUCACCUGAUUGUUGCUGUGGUAUAGCAUCCUCAAUCUGUUGACUUACCAGGGAUCAUAACAUGGAUCAUAACAUGGAUCAUAGGAUCCAGCAUGCCAAAGGGGUGCUGCUCUACACAGCAAACUGCAAAACGUAUCUCCAGGAUCAGCCAUUCUCUGGACUGAGCCACACUUUUUGUUUUGAAGUCUGUGAGGACACUGUAUCAUCGUGUAGCAAGAUACAAGUGCCGACAUACUUGUACAUCCAUGGAUAUCUAAUGCCCUUGUGUCACCUAAUGUGGUGACCAUCACUGUUCUAGGAUAUCAGAUCCAGAAACUCAGAGAUUCAAUGAUUCAGCUGUUAGAAUAUAUGGUGUCAGUGAUUCAACAAUUCAGUGUAUGAGUGUACAGAAUCAGUGAUUAAACUAUACAGUCUUUAAGUUUUACAAAAUCAGUUAUUCAACAAUUCAGUGUUUAAAUGUGCAGAAUCAGCAAUUCAUGAUUCAGUGUUCAAGUGUACAGAAUCAAUGAUUCAGUGUUUGAGUGUACAAAAUCAGUGAUUCAAUGAUUCAGUGUAUGAGUGUACAGAAUCAAUGAUUCAGUGUUCGAGUGUACAGAAUCAGUGAUUCAGUGUUCGCGUGUACAGGUUCAAUGAUUCAGUGUUUGAGUGUACAAAAUCAGUGAUUCAAUUAUUCAGUGUAUGAGUGUACAGAAUCAGUGAUCGCGUGUACAGGUUCAGUGAUUCAAUGAUUCAGUGUUCGAGUGUACAGAAUCAGUGAUUCAGUGUUCGAGUGUACAGAAUCAAUGAUUCAGUGCUUAAAUGUGCUGAAUCAACAAUUCUAUGAUUCAGUGGUUGAGUGUACAUGAUGUGGCUAUAGUCAGCAUGUGAUUGAGAGCUGGCUAAAUUGUAAAUACAAAUGUUUUCUGAAUGUACAUUUUGUAAAACAUGGAAUAAAAUCUAUUUCAAGAGAAA